GCACCCYUGAUCUUAGUGCCAGCAUUCAGUUGGCACUCUAAGUGACUGCCGUGACAAACCGGAGGAAGGUGGGAUGACGUCAAAUCAUCAUGCCCCUUAUGACCUGGGCUACACACGUGCUACAAUGGGCAGAACAAAGGGCAGCGAAGCCGCGAGGCUAAGCCAAUCCCACAAAUCUGUUCUCAGUUCGGAUCGCAGUCUGCAACUCGACUGCGUGAAGCUGGAAUCGCUAGUAAUCGCGGAUCAGCAUGCBGCGGUGAAUACGUUCCCGGGCCUUGUACACACCGCCCGUCACACCACGAGAGUUUGUAACACCCGAAGUCGGUGAGGUAACCUUUUGGAGCCAGCCGCCGAAGGUGGGACAGAUGAUUGGGGUGAAGUCGUAACAAGGUAGCCGUAUCGGAAGGUGCGGCUGGAUCACC
rnacentral:rRNA from 1 species